GCCUGGGUGGCUCAGUCGGUUAAGUGUCCGACUUUGGCUCAGAACAUGAUUUAAUGGCUCGUGGGUUCAAGCCCCGCAUCAGGCU
rnacentral:tRNA from 1 species